GGUUCUUUGGCCGAGUGGUUAAGGCGCUGCUUUUAGGCAGCAGUUCGAUUUUCGUUCACGAGUUCAAUUCUCGUAGGAACCA
rfam:Protomyces lactucaedebilis strain 12-1054 BCR37scaffold_7, whole genome shotgun sequence.